CAGGGCACACAGAAACGAAGAACCGCUCACACUCACACCUGAGGGCAAUUUAGAGCCACCUAUUAACCUUUAUGUCUUUGGUCGUAGGAGGAAGCACCUGGAGAGAACCCACGCAGACACGAGGAGAACAUACAAAUUUCACACAGGAAGGCCUGGGAGGACCAAGGAUUGAACCCUGGAUCUUCUUCCUGUGAGGCCACAGUGCUAACCAAUGCACCACCGUGCCGCCCUCUGAGUGUCACAGCACGAGCAAGCAGCUGACAGACCGACGGGCUGAUCGAGCUGCACAGCAGUGGACGAAUGCAGAUCUACCAAAACACAGCACUUGAUGAACCAUGACAGCAGAAGACAGAUGGUGUCCUCAUUGCCGUCCCCUGAGCUGCACCUCGCCUCAGGCUGCUCGCCCGCCUGACCCCCCCCCUCCUCCCGGCCUCAUAACCUGAACGCAUCACCG